rnacentral:lncRNA from 1 species
UUUUAUUUUCUCAAUUGAACCAACCAACUGCACAAGGUUUUAACAAAGUUGAAAUCCGCUACUGCAAUAUUUUUUGAGAGCACAUUGGCUUUCAUUUGGAGCAUUAUCAUUUAUUGAAUUCCCCAUUAAUUGAUUUUGUUGCUUCUCCAUUUCGAACAAGUAUGUGCCAAUUUUAUCAAACAAAUAAAAUAUCGUAUCUUCAGAGACUGCACUUAAUUAAUUCAAGUUUGUAUGACAUAUUUUCUAAACAAGGUUUUUAUAAAAGUAUUUUGGUUAGGAAUUGGACUUUGCAAUUUAUAUGAUAAAACAAGAGUAGAAAAAUUAUAUUGUCGAGAUUAAGCUUUAUGAACUAUUCGUUUAAUAUCCUUUCUUAAUUGAUUGUAUACUUUUAUGUUUUAGAUAUAAAUCCACCCUUUCACUAGCGUACGUCUUCAGCUAAGGUUAACGACACGAGAUAACUUAGAAACAACUGACUUCCGAUGCAUAGUGGCAAAAUAGCCGAUUUUAGAAAUUGUGAGGCAGAUGCAAUAUAGGUAUCUAAGUGGGACGACUUAUACAACAAUUUCCAUACUUAACUGGAAAAGAAAGUAUCCUUGAGUACACUCAUGCUCAUUCAAGUAUAUGAUAUAAUGAUAAAAAUAGGCAGAAGAUUCAUAUCUUUUU